AGUUGCUUCAAGGCUAUUAAACAGACGAGAGUAAGCGGCUAGACGGGACGAGGAUGAUCUCCAUCAGUAGUAGUCGUGUAGUAGUUGUCAACGGCGGCUGGCCCAGUUGCAUGCAUAUGUUAUGAGCUUGCCUUUAUAUCGUUUUGCUGCUGGACAAUACAAUUCUCACAUUAUGUGUAGGAGCACCGUCUCGGAAGCAUACGCAUCUGGAGGUGGGAAUGAAGCACAAGCUCCUCAAGGAUGUUUCCAAAAUAAUAACUUCACAUCAACUGGCAUUCCGACAAGAAGUCUAGGAAUCUUUCUGCCAAAUCAAAAUCAGAGACGAAGGCUGAUUUGUCCUUAGUUCUUCUCAAAAAAGAGAGG